rnacentral:rRNA from 1 species
AGUGUACGCUGGCGGUAGGCCUAACACAUGCAAGUCGAACGGCAGCACAGUAAGAGCUUGCUCUUACGGGUGGCGAGUGGCGGACGGGUGAGGAAUACAUCGGAAUCUACUUUUUCGUGGGGGAUAACGUAGGGAAACUUACGCUAAUACCGCAUACGACCUACGGGUGAAAGCAGGGGAUCUUCGGACCUUGCGCGAUUGAAUGAGCCGAUGUCGGAUUAGCUAGUUGGCGGGGUAAAGGCCCACCAAGGCGACGAUCCGUAGCUGGUCUGAGAGGAUGAUCAGCCACACUGGAACUGAGACACGGUCCAGACUCCUACGGGAGGCAGCAGUGGGGAAUAUUGGACAAUGGGCGCAAGCCUGAUCCAGCCAUACCGCGUGGGUGAAGAAGGCCUUCGGGUUGUAAAGCCCUUUUGUUGGGAAAGAAGAGCAGCAGGUUAAUACCCCGCUGUUCUGACGGUACCCAAAGAAUAAGCACCGGCUAACUUCGUG